rnacentral:rRNA from 1 species
AGUCGUAACAAGGUAACCGUAGGUGAACCUGCGGUUGGAUCAUUACAAAAUUGGUUUCAUACCAAACAUUGUGUGCACUAUAUCUGUCUCUGGUGGUUCUCGUGCUUGCUUGCAAGCCUGCACCAAUCAACCUGUUGAUUGCGGCUGGAUCACCAACCAUGAGCGUGGGGUUCUGAACCAAACGCUUGUGAUAAACCUUGUAUUUAUUUUUAUGUCUGAAUCAUUCACCAAGUGAAUUGAAAAACAACUUUUGACAACGGAUCUCUUGGCUCUCGCAACGAUGAAGAACGCAGCGAAUUGCGAUAAGUAAUGUGAAUUGCAGAAUUCAGUGAAUCAUCAAAUCUUUGAACGCACAUUGCGCUUUCUGGUACUCCGGAAAGCAUGCCUGUUUGAGAAUCGAUAAAUCAUCAUACUAAUCUUAUGUUAACACAUGAGUGAUGUAUGGACUUGAGUUACUUUGCAUUGCAAUAACUUUAAACAAAAUGUCAAUGGCCUCUUUUGAAAAAGAUGAGCUUGAGUGCAUGAAGAGCAUUAGCUUGAAAUCAUUCAGAGUUUGUUUUUUUCGAUUGCAAGUCAGGGAUUCAACCAAUUACACAACAUUUUUACAUUUUGUAAAAGUAUUGAACACUUGGUCUCAAAUCAGGUAGGAAAACCCGCUGAACUUAAGCAUAUCAAUAAGCGGAGGAAAAGAAACUAACAAGGAUUCCCCUAGUAACGGCGAGUGAAGCGGGAAUAGCUCAAAUUUGAAAUCUUACAGGUUUUCUUGUACGAAUUGUAGUUUAGAGAAACGUUUUCGGGCGUAACAUGGGUAUAAGUCCUUCGGAACGAGGCAUCAUAGAGGGUGAGAAUCCCGUUCUUGACCCAUUGUUUAUGUCUAUGUGAUACGUUUUCCACGAGUCGGUUUGUUUGGGAAUGCAGACCAAAAUGGGUGGUAAAUACCAUCUAAAGCUAAAUAUUGGCGAGAGACCGAUAGCGAACAAGUACCGUGAGGGAAAGAUGAAAAGAACUUUGAAAAGAGAGUUAAAAAGUACGUGAAAUUGUCAAAAGGGAAACGCUUGAAACCAGUAUUGCUUGCAGGUAAUCAGCCGUUCGUUCAGGACGGUGCACUUGCCUGUUAGCAGGUCAACAUCAGUUUGGUUUGGGGUAAAAAGCCAGAAGAAGGUAGCCCAGAGUUCGCUUUGGGUGUUAUAGCUUCUGGUCCUGCCCUGGACUGGACUGAGGACUGCAGCAUUUUUUGGGUACCCAGUCGCCUCUUGAAACCCUUUGGCAGACAGCAUGCUGACUGUUGAAUGACGUAGGGAGCCCGAUUGGUUUUCCACACCAAUGCUUAGGAUGUUGACGAAAUGGUUUUAAACGACC